rnacentral:siRNA from 1 species
CAACAGACUAUGCAGUCGAGUAUC